UUUAUAAGCUCACAGUCACCUGUAAAACACCUAGGACUCAAAGAUAAACUCACGGCCGUGGUGGAACCAGCACAGGAGACUCCCCCACCAGUCGCUGCGCAUGAAGCACCAGUGGUUGAACCUGAACCUGUGGAAGAAGUGAUUCAAGCAACAAAAGCAGAGCAGGAUGCUGCUGCUCCUCAAUCUGAGCCUGAUGUUGAGGAGGAAUCUGAGCCUGAAGCUGUUGAUGAAGAGGCUGAACCCAAGGAGGUUGAAGAGUCUGACCCUGAUGUAGAAGAUGUUGAAGCCAUUGAACCUGAAGAUGAAGAAGUUGAGGAGGAGCCUGAGCCUGAAAUUAUUGAACCAGCGUUUGAGGAGGAACAUGAAACUCAAUCAGAAAAUGAGUCUGUUAAUGAUGCUGUGGAAGAAACACAUGAGGAACUUAAUAAAGAGGACCCAGCAGUUUUAGAGGCUUUUGAGGAGGAAGCUGAGCCUGCGGAGGAGGAGGCUGCUCCUGUAGAAGAGGCUGUUGAGGAGGUCGUUGAGGAUGCUGCUCCUGUGGAGGAGGCCGUUGAGGAAGAGGCGGCUGCUCCUGUAGAAGAGGCCGUUGAGGAGGAGGAAGAGGCGGCUGCUCCUGUGGAAGAGGCCGUUGAGGAGGAGGAAGAGGCGGCUGCUCCUAUGGAAGAGGCCGUUGAGGAGGAGGAAGAGGAGGCUGCUCCUGUAGAAGAGGCCGUUGAUGAGGAGGAAGAGGAGGCUGCUCCUGUAGAAGAGGCCGUUGAUGAGGAGGAAGAGGAGGCUGCUCCUGUAGAAGAGGCCGUUGAUGAGGAGGCUGCUCCUGUGGAAGAGGCCGCUGAGGAGGAGGAAGAGGAGGCUGCUCCUGUGGAAGAGGCCGUUGAGGAGGAGGAAGAGGAGGCUGCUCCUGUUGAAGAAGCCAUUGAGGAGGAGGAGGAAGAGGAGGCUGCUCCUGUUGAAGAAGCCAUUGAGGAGGAGGAGGAAGAGGAGGCUGCUCCUGUUGAAGAAGCCAUUGAGGAGGAAGAGGAGGCUGCUCCUGUUGAAGAGGCCGUUGAGGAGGAGGAGGAAGAGGAGGCUGCUCCUGUGGAGGAAGCCACUGAAGAAGACCUGUUCACAAAUGACACUCCCCCACUUGAGAGAGGUGAAGCAGCAGAUGAGGAGCAAACAGCAGUUAAAGAGGCUCUUGAGGAACCAUCUGAGGUGGAGUCUGUGCACACUGACUAUGCUGAAAGUGAAGAGCCAUUAGUAGAGGAUGCAGAAGAAGAUGAGCAAGAAGCAGCAGAAACGUAAAAUUUGAUGUCCGUUCAGAAGCCACGAGGCUAGAAUGAUUUCCUCUGAGCGACUGCAUUUCCCACCCAGGAGUGUACAGAGGAGGAAGAAACUGUUGUUCUGUCUUUUCUUUUGUGUGUGUGUCAUGUUAUCUAAAUGAGUGGCUCACAACUCUGUUCUGUCAGUCCUUAAACUGGUUCCCAGCAGAUCGCUGCUCCACAGAUGUUCAUCAUGCGGCCCCGAAUGUUAAGAGCUAGAGCGGAACGAGCACAUGGACUGGUUUGGGUUCCUCAGGGCUGGGUUCUGGACCACUUGUACAGAUACUUGUGGGUGGGAGAUGGGGGGUUGGUCUUGGUUUUUUAUGUAGUAACGUGGUUCCUUUUGGUUUUUAUUUCCUGUGUUCCGUUUCUGUUCUCAGACAUUUCUGUGCUGGAAAGGCUCACAAUUUUCAACUCUUUAGAACAUGUGAAGUAUCAAUGUUGAUCUGUGGUGGGGAACGAAUUUUGCUUGUUAGUAUGUACAUGAUGGUACUAUGCAAAGCUGCACUGAUCUUCAGCAGUGACCUGAGGUGCUGUACAGCGUAUCACGUUCAUGCAGGCAGGCAGGUUUCAUUACAUUUUAUUUCCAGCCUGUGUACAUUUUACAUACAAGAGUGUCAUCAUGGAACAACCGAAUAUUCCUUUCCAGCCGCAAUUUAAUUUUAUUCUGAUUGCUGCCUGCUAGUUUCUCCUUCAAGCAUCUUCAGUACUGUAGGGUUUGUAUUACAGUAGAUCAGCAAGAGUAAGGAAUUCAGUUGUAAUGUCUUAUUGUUGAAAGGGAUAUGUUGCUUCGUCUCAGGGUUAUCCAAACCCAUGCUUUGUGUGCGUCAUUGUUGGGUUUUGCUUCUCAGUAAUUUUUUUUUCUUUGUUAAAUUCUUUAUUAUGCCACUAUUCUGAUAAAUGAUGGUUGAGCCUCUUCCUCCUGUACCUCAUAGAUCAUGAGGCUCAAAAGUCUGUGUGUGUGUGUGUGUGAGUGUGAGAUGACCAGUACUUUUCUUUUUCCAAAGGGAAAUUUUAUGUGCCCGCAUCAGUGAAGGGGAGGGGUCUAAAUUUUGGUUGUCCCUUGAAGUUCAUACAACUAGAUGGAAAAAAAUGUGUGAACAUUUUUUUUUUUUUUUUUUUUAUAUAUAUAUAUAAAAAUUUGCUUCUUAACGUGAAGCAUGUCACAUUUACUCUUAUGUGCGUGGUACAUGUGCACCCCUAGAACUAAAGUGUGAAUUUAUUUUACCACAGUUACAUCUUAAAGGACAUUUGCUGUUCUAUUGGUCAAAUUUGCUUUUAUUUGUACCCUUGUCUGUGUAAAGCAAAUGUGGGCUGUGGGCCUGCCUUUUUUUAUUAGUUCUGACUGUUUGAACACCCUUAUCCACUACUUUAUAGCAUUCAAAUGCAUGUGUUCAUUUACCUACCCCUUUUUCCCAUAGUGUUGUGCAGAAGCCUACUAAAAUAAUGCCAUUGUGAUCAAUUUUAGGAAAUGCUGUAAUUCUUUCAGAGGUCUGUGGUGUUCAGCAAGCUGUUUCAUUUUUAUGAAUUUUUUUCCCUUUCUUUCUUUCUUUCUUUCUUUCUUUCUUUCUAUAACACUUAGAUUUUUUUUCUGCUUAAAUUUUUUGAAGUCAAUGUGAAUUUUUAACAUGGUAUUACAUUUACAAAAUUCUAACUUUAAGAGGUUUAACUUUUUUUAGACCUUUUUUAGAAAGUGGUUUCCAUUUUCUUAAGCCAUAGGUAAGACGUGAGUGUUUACGGUGCACCAUAUUUCAAGAGAGAGACAUUGCACACCUGAAAAUAGACUUUUCAUUGCAGUUCACAUUUGAACAGGAUUUUUACACCAUUAGCUCCCGCCUUACAAGAGGUUUACAGACUCUACAUUGUACCGGACAAUAAGUUAUUAUGAAAUAACAUCAACAACACUAUUGUAAAUGUUCUGCUGAAGUGCUGUAAUAAAGGUUUGGGAAUAUAAUGUUUUGUCUCA
ensembl:lncRNA